AUCUGUUCUUACUGUGAAAGAUGGUGUUUGGAGUCACAUGGGCAAGUUACAUGUCCAUCACCCCCCACCCAUAUUCUAGUUAGAACGUUCACAAAAAGUCCAUUUAGUAAGGGCAACUGCAGAAGACUUUG